GCCACGUUGGUGAUCCGCGAGGGCGCGAUAGAAUGGUUGAGAUCCGUUCCAGCACGCACGGACGGUCCAGAUUGAAAUCGUGCACGCACGACCCAAAUUGAAUCGCGCACGGACGAUCCAGAUUGAAUUGCGCAUAGACGGCCCAGAUUGAAUCGUGAUGAACAGUCCAUAUUCACUCCCUAUUUAAUCGCGAUCGGACGGUCCAGAUCAAAAGCGAUGGACGGUUCAGAUCAAAAGCGGAUGGGUAUAAAUAACCCCAUCCGCACCCAAACCCUAACCUUAGCCGCAAGAACCACUCGCUGGAGAAGACAGCCCAGCUGCUGGGGAGCCGACCACCGCCACCCACUGUUGCACCGGAGCAAUUUCUGACUGCCAAACGAGGUAAAAAUUUUACCCUUUGCUCAGAAUUUAAUUUUAAACACACUCAUAACCAAAUCAAAGCAAAAAGAAUGGCCGAUUGGCUGAAAAACGCUAGCAAAACCCGGCGGCGUCGCCGUGGGGUAUUUCAAAAAACG
rnacentral:lncRNA from 1 species